CCUACGGGCGGCAGCAGUCGAGAAUCAUUCACAAUGGGGGAAACCCUGAUGGUGCGACGCCGCGUGGGGGAAUGAAGUUCUUCGGAUUGUAAACCCCUGUCAUGUGGGAGCAAAUUAAAAAGAUAGUACCCCAAGAGGAAGAGACGGCUAACUCUGUGACAGCAGCCGCGGUAAUACAGAGGUCUCAAGCGUUGUUCGGAAUCACUGGGCGUAAAGCGUGCGUAGGCUGUUUCGUAAGUCGUGUGUGAAAGGCGCGGGCUCAACCCGCGGACGGCACAUGAUACUGCGAGACUAGAGUAAUGGAGGGGGAACCGGAAUUCUCGGUGUAGCAGUGAAAUGCGUAGAUAUCGAGAGGAACACUCGUGGCGAAGGCGGGUUCCUGGACAUUAACUGACGCUGAGGCACGAAGGCCAGGGGAGCGAAAGGGAUUAGAUACCCGGGUAGUC
rnacentral:rRNA from 1 species